rnacentral:lncRNA from 13 species
GAGCGUGAUGCAUACCUGCCGUUAGCUGAAAGUGCCAGUAAGAUGUNNNNNNNNNNNNNNNNNNNNNNNNNNNNNNNNNNNNNNNNNNNNNNNNNNNNNNNNNNNNNNNNNNNNNNNNNNNNNNNNNNNNNNNNNNNNNNNNNNNNAUGUCACCUACACAUGGUUAGCAGAUGUUAAUGCGAGUGUAGCGAAAUGUUUGUGCUUCUAGUUCCGACCGUGCAGUAAUAUCUAACAAUUUCACAACAACUACCUUAUACACAUAAAUGUAAGGAAUGAAUAAGAAUAUGUUAAUAUAAAUAUAUGGAUGAGCGAUGGCCGUGCAGCAUAGGCAAGAUGCAGUAGAUGGUAUAGAAUACAGUAUAUACAUAUGAGAUGUCUAAUGUAAGAUAUGUAAACAUUAUUAAAGUGGUGUAAUUUAAGGUCACUAUUGAUACCUCUAUUAAGUCCAUUUAUUGAAGUGACUAGAGAUUUGAGUCUGUAUGUUGGCAGCAGCCUCUCUAUGUUAGUGAUGGCUGUUUAACAGUCUGAUGGCCUUGAGAUAGAAGCUGUUUUUCAGUCUCUCGGUCCCAGCUUUGAUGCACCUGUACUGACCUCGCCUUCUGGAUGAUAGCGGGGUGAACAGGCAACCCCUUUGAAAGACACACAUGCAUAUAGAGGUUGGGACAGGGGGCUGCCACACUGGGCCUGUGGAGCAGGUGUUAUGGGGGUUUAGUGCCUUGCUCAAGGGCACACGACCAGCAAUAGAUUUGAGACCAGCAACCCUCCGUUUGCCAGCUCACUAACUGCCAGAUUUUUUCUGUCAGAUCCCCAGAGUCGAACCGGAAAUAGUCGGUUGCUGGCUCGCCUCUAACCGCUAGGAUUAAGUGCCCUCCUCCUGUGUAUGUGUGUGUGAGAGAACAGACUGUGAAUACAGCUGUUAUGGGGUUUGAUACAGGAGGGAGGACAGGGGUUAACUAUUGGUCAAGAUGGCAGCAAGCCAACAAGCAUCUCAUUGUUUUCCAUCCAAGUCAUUUUCUCUGUCCUCUCCCUUUCUCCUGUCCUGUCCUUGCCUUCUCCCCGACCUCUCUCUCUCUCUCUUUCUCUCCCUCUUCCCUCAUUUCAGAACCUCUUCCCUCUUUAUUUAUCUCCAUCUAUCUUCUCUCUGAUGUUGUCCCUCCUGUCCCCCAAGUCUCUGCUGCCUUGGCUUCACCUUGGAUACGUUGAGUGGAGUGUUUCUAGCUGCGAUGGUGUUGUGUUCAGUAAGGUUCAUUAUAUUUCUGCACUAGCGAGUUCGCUACAAUACACACUCAUAUCUCAAUGUAUAAGUGCCAUUUUGUUCUUGUUGUGUUGCAGUGUUAGCUGGCUACUGUAUGUGUAUCUGUGGUCAAGGGGUUGGCCAGACUCCAGAGUAAUUGUUGCACUUUAAAAACAGACACUGCAGAAAUUCACAGUUUAAUGCCAAGUAUUAAAAGCCCAGGGACAGAGGAAGCNNNNNNNNNNGGUCUCUAACACCUGAGUUGUACAGGAGCAUGUCCUGCUCCCUCUCUAUGGGUCUCUAACACCUGAGUGGUACAGGAGCAUGUCCUGCUCCCUCUCUAUUGGUCUCUAACACCUGAGUGGUACAGGAGUAUGUUUUGAAAUAUAAUUAAUAAUAGAAUAUAGGAAAGGCUCCUCUUCAACUUAGUUUUAGGAAGGUGUUCCUAAUGUUUUGUACAAAUCAAAUGUUAUUUGUCACAUACACAUGUUUAGCAGAUGUUAUUGCGGGUGUAACAAAAUGCUUGGGUUUCUAGCUCCAACAGUGCAGUAAUAUCUAACAAGUAAUAUCUAACAAUUUCACAACAAUAGUGUUCCAUUAUUAAAGUCACCAGUGUUCCAUUAUUAAAGUGACUAGUGUUCCAUUAUUAAAGUGACCCAUGAUUCCAAGUCCAUGUAUAUAGGGCUGCAGCCUCUAAUGUGCUAGUGGUGGCUAUUUAACAGUCUGAUGGCCUUGAAGAUAGGUGUUUUUUAGUCUCUCGGUCCCAGCUUUGAUGCACCUAUACUGACCUUGCUUUCUGGAUGAUAGCGGGGUGAACAGGCAGUGGCUCGUGUGGUUAUUGUCAUAGAUUAUCUUUUUGGCCUUCCCGUGACAUCGGGUGCUGGAGGUGUCCUGGAGGGCAGGUAGUUUGCCCCCGGUGAUGUGUUGGGCAGACCGCACCACCCUCUGGAGAGCCCUGCGGUUGAGGGCGGUGAGUGUUGCCGUACCAGGCAGUGAUACGGCCCGACAGGAUGCUCUCAAUUGUGCAUCUGUAAAAGUUUGUGAGGGUUUUACGUGCCAAGACACAUUUCUUCAGCCUCCUGAGGUUGAAGAGGUGCUGUUGCGCUUUCUUCACCACACUCUGUGUGAGUGGACCAUUUCAGAUCGUCAGUGAUGUGUACGCUGAGGAACUUUCCACCUUCUCCACUGUUGUCCCAUCGAUGUGGAUAGGGGGGUGUUCCCUCUGCUGUUUCCUGAAGUCCACAAUCAGCUCCUUUUGUUUUGUUGACGUUGAGUGAGAGGUAAUUUUCCUGCACCACAAUCACAGGGCCCUCACCUCCUCCCUGUAGGCCGUCUCGUCGUUGUUGGUAAUCAAGCCUACCACUGUAGUGUCGUCCGCAAACUUGAUGAUUGAGUUGGAGGCGUGCCUGGCCAUGCAGUCAUGGGUGAACAGGGAGUACAGGAGGGGGCUGAGCACGCACCCUCGUGGUGCCCCAAUGUUGACAAUCAGCGAAGUAGAGGUGUUGUUUCCUACCGUCACCACUGGUCAGGAAGUCCAGAACCCAGUUGCAUAAGGCAGGCGUUCAGUCCCAGGGCCACAAGCUUAAUGAUGAGCUUGGAGGAUACUAUGGUGUUGAAUGCUGUGCUAUAGUCAAUGCACAGCAUUCUUACAUAGGUAUUCCUCUUGUCCAGAUGGGAUAGGGCAGUGUGCCUAUACCGUGAGUCUUCCAUCCUCGUCAUUUUUUCAAGUCACCAGCCUCCACAGGUAUAUACGGUGUAUAUACUGUAUUCUCGACAUAGUAAAUCCUAAUAUACCGACUACUGUACAUACCUGUCAAUACACACCACGUGUUUAUAAUUGAUCGUUCAGAUAUUCCUCGAUUUCUUGUUUAGACAUUUAUGAUUAUUUUACAUUUGUAUUGUAUUUGCUAGACAUUCUACUGAAAACCAGCAUUUUUUUCUGCACCUGCUUUAACAGAUCAGUGUAAGUGACCAACACCCUUUCAUUUGAUUAACAACAUGCACAAGUCACAAAUGCUUUGCGGCAAACCACUCAUACUACAGCUCUAUAGCUCAUUCCUCCUUAUUCGUUAUGUAUGCUAUUUGUCACGUGUUCUAUUUGGUUGUGUAUCCCUCCAUUACACACACACACACACACACAUUCUAUUCUGAGCCAGUAACUCAUCAGUCAGUUCACCAAUGGCAGCUCUCUCUUCCUGUGUGGUCCAGAGAUUAAACUCACGGAGACUUUCUGUCUCUGUGGUUACCACGGCAGCCAGUCCCUGUGUUUUUAUCGUUAGACGACACCCUCUCUCCCUGCAGCUAGCCCCGCGUUUACCGGUUAUUCUGGGAAAGAAAAACUCACACUUAGUUACACACAGUCAUCCCAGCCCUCUUUUCAGCUUCUCUUUAUGUCUGUGUGCCUUCUGGGGACGAGAGAGAGAGCAAUAGAGAGAGAGAGAGCAAUAGAGAGAGAGAGAGAGAGAGCAAUAGAGAGAAAGGGAGAGAUUAAGAGAGAUCGAGAGAGAGCUUGAAAGAGAGGGAAUGAGAGUGUGUAAGAAAGAGUAAGGGGGAGAGGGAAGAAGACGGAGGAAGAGGGAGGACAUCCUUUUUGUUUGCAGUCAUUCCUAGAAUGCUGUUUCUGUCAUCAGCCUCAUUUAUUUUCCAGAGGAGAUGUAGUAACAACACACACAGCACAGUGUUGCUGACUCUCAUUGAUUACAUUUUAGUCAGCAGUGUGAGUUAGAGUUUACUAAAACACACUGCACACCUCUGCCUUGAGGGAGCCCUCGGUGUGCAGUGUGUGUUUUUGUGUACUUAACUCUGUGAAACAGAGACCUUAGCAACUCUCUUCUCAGAACUUGGCUUAGGCAUCAUUCAUUUCUUGGAACAGAUGAAUAGACUCACUCACACUCACUCUCUCAAACACACACACACACACACACACACACACACACACACACACACACACCUCUGUAUUGGUAGAUAAGUAGUGUGGCCACUGCAGAAACUUCUCUCAAGCCAUUCUCAGACCUCCCUCUGUCCCAUGUUUCUCAUCCCUUGAUGGGGCAGUUCACCUCCUGAUGUUACCAUGGAAACACAGAAAGAUAAAAAUGGGGGGAAACAUCUGACUCUCUCCACCCUCGUUUUCUCUCCCUCUUCCCUCAUUUCAGAACCUCUUCCCUCUUUAUUUAUCUCCAUCUAUCUUCUCUCUGAUGUUGUCCCUCCUGUCCCCCAAGUCUCUGCUGCCUUGGCUUCACCUUGGAUACGUUGAGUGGAGUGUUUCUAGCUGCGAUGGUGUUGUGUUCAGUAAGGUUCAUUAUAUUUCUGCACUAGCGAGUUCGCUACAAUACACACUCAUAUCUCAAUGUAUAAGUGCCAUUUUGUUCUUGUUGUGUUGCAGUGUUAGCUGGCUACUGUAUGUGUAUCUGUGGUCAAGGGGUUGGCCAGACUCCAGAGUAAUUGUUGCACUUUAAAAACAGACACUGCAGAAAUUCACAGUUUAAUGCCAAGUAUUAAAAGCCCAGGGACAGAGGAAGNNNNNNNNNNNNNNNNNNNNNNNNNNNNNNNNNNNNNNNNNNNNNNNNNNNNNNNNNNNNNNNNNNNNNNNNNNNNNNNNNNNNNNNNNNNNNNNNNNNNUCUGUCUGUCUGUCUGUCUGUCUGUCUGUCUCUGUCUCUGUCUCUCUGAAUUUCAAUUAAAUUGAAGGGCUUUAUUGGCAUGGGAAAUAUAUGUUAACAUUGCCAAAGCAAGUGAAGUAGAUAAUUAACAAAAGUGAAAUAAACAAUACAAAUUAACAGUAAACAUUACACUCACAGAAGUUCCAAAAGAAUAAAGACAUUUCAAAUGUCAUAUUAUGUGCAAAGAGUUAAAGUACAAAAGUGCAAAUAAAUAAACAUAAAUAUGGGUUUACAAUGGCUUUUGUUCUUCACUGGUUGCCCUUUUCUUGUGGCAACAGGUCACACAUCUUGCUAAUGUGAUUGUACACUGUGGUAUUUCACCCAGCAGAUAUGGGAGUGAAUCAAUAUUGAGUUUGUUUUCAAAUUCUUUGUGGAUCUGUGUAAUCCGAGGGAAAUAUGUCUCUCUUAUAUGGUCAUACAUUGGGCAGGAGGUUAGGAAGUGCAGCUCAGUUUCCACCUCAUUUUGUGGGCAGUGUGCACAUAGCCUGGUCUUCUCUUGAGAUCCAGGUCUGCCUACGGUGGCCUUUUUCAAUAGCAAGGCUAUGCUCACUGAGUCUGUAUAUAGUCAAAGCUUUCCUUAAUUUUGGGUCUGUCUCUCUCCCUCAUCCUUUGUCUCUCUAUCAUCCUCUCUCUCUCCCUCCUUGUUCUCUAUCUCUCCCACAUUCUCUCUCUACAUUAUAAAACAGCUUUCAUCUGGGUAUGCAAAUUAUUAUUUAUUUUUUUAUAACUAAGUCAGUUAAGAACAAAUUCUUAUUUACAAGCCUACACCUGCCAAACUCGGACGACGUUGGGCCAAUUGUGCACCGCACUAUGGGACUCCCAAUCAUGGCCGGUUAUGAUGAAGUCUGGAUUCGAACUAGGUUGUCUGUAGUGACGCCUGUCUUACACUACUGCGCCACUUGGAAGUCCAUAUUAAAUUAGCACUAUUUAGACAAUAGGCAGCGGUAUGUAUGAAUCUAAAGACACUCUUCAUUUCUACAGCUGGGUUUCUAAGAGGCACAUAUGGAUUUAAGGAGAACAGAACUG